rnacentral:rRNA from 1 species
UACGUAGGCAGCGAGCGUUGUUCGGAGUUACUGGGCGUAAAGGGUGUGUAGGCGGCUCCCUAAGUUUGGUGUGAAAUCUCCCGGCUCAACUGGGAGGGUGCGCCGAAUACUGAAUGACUUGGAGUGCGGGAGAGGAGAGUGGAAUUCCGGUGUAGCGGUGAAAUGCGUAGAUAUCGGAAGGAACACCUGUGGCGAAAGCGGCUCACUGGACCAUAACUGACGCUGAGGCGCGAAAGCUAGGGGAGCAAACAGG